rnacentral:rRNA from 1 species
UCGGGAAUUUUGGGCAAUGGGCGAAAGCCUGACCCAGCAACGCCGCGUGAAGGAUGAAGUAUUUCGGUAUGUAAACUUCGAAAGAAUAGGAAGAAUAAAUGACGGUACUAUUUAUAAGGUCCGGCUAACUACGUGCCAGCAGCCGCGGCAAUACGUAGGGACCAAGCGUUGUUCGGAUUUACUGGGCGUAAAGGGCGCGUAGGCGGCAAUUCAAGUCAUCUGUGAAAUCUCCGGGCUUAACUCGGAACGGUCAGAUGAUACUGCUUUGCUAGAGUGCAGAAGAGGCAAUCGGAAUUCUUGGUGUAGCGGUGAAAUGCGUAGAUAUCAAGAGGAACACCUGAGGUGAAGACGGGUUGCUGGGCUGACACUGACGCUGAGGCGCGAAAGCCAGGGGAGCAAACGGGAUUAGAUACCCCCGUAGUCCCUGAGCGGGCUGGCAAGGCGCAU